rnacentral:rRNA from 1 species
GACGAACGCUGGCGGCGUGCUUAACACAUGCAAGUCGAACGGAAAGGCCCUGCUUUUGUGGGGUGCUCGAGUGGCGAACGGGUGAGUAACACGUGAGUAACCUGCCCUUGACUUUGGGAUAACUUCAGGAAACUGGGGCUAAUACCGGAUAGGAGCUCCUGCUGCAUGGUGGGGGUUGGAAAGUUUCGGCGGUUGGGGAUGGACUCGCGGCUUAUCAGCUUGUUGGUGGGGUAGUGGCUUACCAAGGCUUUGACGGGUAGCCGGCCUGAGAGGGUGACCGGCCACAUUGGGACUGAGAUACGACCCAGACUCCUACGGGAGGCAGCAGUGGGGAAUAGUGCACAAUGGGCGGAAGCCUGAUGCAGCAACGCCGCGUGCGGGAUGACGGCCUUCGGGUUGUAAACCGCUUUCGCCUGUGACGAAGCGUGAGUGACGGUAAUGGGUAAAGAAGCACCGGCUAACUACGUG